GCAGAGGGAUUCGGCCAGCCUCUUUUCAGUGGUCUGUGGGGACAGGACAAGGGGCAAUGGCCACAAAAUGGAGCCCAGGCAGUUCCGCACCAACAUGUGAAAGAACUUCUUCCCGGUGAGGGUGACGGAGCACUGGGACAGGCUGCCCAGGGAGGCCGUGGGGUCUCCUUCUCUGCAGAUAUUCAGGGCCCGUCUGGACGCCCGCCUGGGCAGCCUGCUCUAGGGAACUGCUUCGGCAGGGGGGUUGGACCCGAUGGUCUCUUGGGAUCCCUUCCAACCCCUACAAAUUCACGCUCCAUUUGCA